GGUUUGUUUAUAUUUUGUCGAGGUGUUUCUCAAAUAAAGUCAUUAGUCAAUGAAAAUCCUAUUUAUUAAAUAAAUAGGACUGUUUAUUCUUUUCUAAUGAAAUGUUUGAAGGCCACCUUUCGAUUUCGUCUGAUAUUGAUAUGGAAUAAAAUUCGCUGAAUUUGCAAUAAUGAUUCAUUACACGAACUGUCACAAGUGAAAAAUGGCGGUAUUGAAUCUAUUCAUUAGUAGUCAGUACAGUAAGCACGUGGAUUUUUCUUUCUUGAAAAGGGAUUUAGCAAUUAUCAUACAGGAAUUAACCUGAUUUAAUGUGCUAACAUUCAUAAUUCAUGGAUUAAUGAAGUUUCAAAUGCUGGCACUCCUGGAUAUCGAGAACUGCAAAUUAUAAAAAGUUGCCUAUAUGACUUCUUCUAUGGUGAUAUAAUUUAGUGUAGAAAUAUAGGAUUAGCAGAUAAUGAAUGCCAAGGCAUCUAGUGCAUUGAUUGACCCUGGGUGACAUAUGGACUUGAAUUCAAGGUGGAGAUUCACAAGAUGACUAGUGAAGACUGUAGAGACAAGUAUCCAGAAGAUAAUUUAAAUGGAUAUUAAUCUAUCAUUUAGUAGUUUCUUUAACAUUUUGAGUUUAUGACAAGGUGACAUCCUGACCUAUAAUGGUAGUUUUUAAAUUGUAAUCUAUUUAUAAAAAAAAAAAUGUUAUGUGGGUGGCCUACUUCUUUUAUCAAAUACACUAACAGACUGUUUUAUGUAACAAUUAGCAAGUUCAUAUAAUUUUGAACAAAUUCAAACCUUUUGAUAUGUAUGUAAAAGAUGACUCCAUCAACAUUUAUGACAUUUAAAACAUAAUUAAAAUAAUAAAUUGUAAAAUAUUUAUGGAUCAAAAACUAACAUUAAAAUACUUUAUCAGAUAAGAAUGAUAAAUAAGGAAAAUAAAUCAAGAGUAUCAACAUAUGUAUGUGAUGAAUUUAACAUCAGGUCAAUGAGAAAAUAAAGAGCACUUGGGCUUGACCAUAUGGAUAUCUUCUUCCAAAUCUUUAUUUAAAUAAAAUAAUAGUACAGCUAUUUUGACUGAAGGAUUCCAAGAAUGGUACAAUGAACUAUUUGAAGGGUUAAAACAGACUGUUUGUGUGGUCUUGAUGAUAUUUUUGUCUUUGAGGUAGCUAUCUGAUAGAUGGAUGGUGAUUUACUGGAGUACUUCAAUAAUAAAGAAAACACAGUAUCCCUUGUACACAGUGUAAGAGUACCAACACUCUCAACCUUGGUCCCUUUACCUCAGAGUGUUGUAAACACAAUAAUUGCUUUUUGAGAACCAAUUACCAGAAGUGUAGCAACUGUAUGGGUAGUUCUUUAUAGCAGUAAUUCUAUAGUAUCUUCUAGUAUAGCAGUUUUCAGUCUCAUUGAUAAAUAUCAGUAAAUAUGUCAAUUAAACCAGUGUACAUCUUGUUUUGCUCAAAACAUAGAACCAAUAAUUUCAGUCCAAGGUGGUAAAGAUGUGCUAGAGAAAUCAAAUAUAUACAGUAUCUAAACUGUAAAUAUUAUUAAAUAUCUAAUAAAUUGACUGUUACAUGGUCAUUACUAUGAUAAUAAUCUAGUCAAUUUUUCGCGUUUUUAAGGGCAUUUUAGAAGAUCUGAAAGAAAAAUAAAUCAUUGCAAGAUUUCAUGAAGUUUAUAUAUACUGAUUCAUUCUGUCAUGUUAAAAAUCUUUGUAUCCUAUAUAGGCUAUUAAUUUAACACAAUUUAAUUACACCCCACCCCCAUACUUCUUUUGUCUAUUUGUUUAUAUUUACUUGCCAUGUAUAUAUUGUGUAUUAUAUUAGUGUACAUGUAUGUUAUCUGAUGAGUCAGUAAACUUGAAGAAAUAAAGAAUUGAAAUACUAAUAAUACAUUUAUAGAGCAUCUGAAAUCUAACAUGAUGUGCUGCCCAUCAGUAUUAUUCAACAAAUAACCAGGGACAUUAACAAACAAUUAAACACACCAAGAAAAUUUGUAACUUUAACAUAUUAUCCUGUUACUUAAAGGGGCUAAAUUGCUACUAUUUGGGACCUAGAAAUUGACACAAAUGGGUUGCAACAUAUAUAAUAAUGUAAUAUGAAUGUAUAUUAACUGAUUUACAUUCAAUCGUUUCCAUUUUUACCCUAAUUUCAAGUCAGUUUUGUUUGGCAAAAUACACCAAAUGUCUCAAUCGAAUGGCAAUCUCUAGUAUCUGGUUAUUCUGGUCUACAUCGAUAGUAUUUAUUGUGCAUGUUCUCCAGAUAAGAAUAUCGCGUCACCGUUUGACAUGACUCGUUGAGUAUCUCUAGCCUUGUUCUUCGAGUCCCUUGUUACAAAUGGCGCUGAUUCGUGCACCAAUGGUAAAAUGUGUAUUUUGUCUUAAAUAUUGAAUAUCAGAAGCCCAUCUUUUCCCGAUAAGAUCACAAUAUCAAUUUUGAUUUAAAUUGACAAAUAAUUAGUGUUUUCAAUGUCGAAGACUUUGGAUGAUAUUGAGUUAGAGACUUAGCUACUUUAAGUCUGCUGUAAUGGUCUUUCCAUUCAAAACCAGAAGUCAGUUUAAAUUGGUUGCAAAAACGAAUCCUUGACAUUGCAAAUCAUGAAUGAAAUUUAUACAAAUUAAUCAAUAAAACACUACACCAACAGAAUCUUUUAUAGAUAAGAUUUAUUUUAAAUUACUUGUACAUGUACUAGUAAAUUGUCAUCUAAGCCUUUGCCCUUGUGUUAAUAUGGUUCUAAACAAUUCCUUUAUAAUAAUUAACAAUUAUCAUAAUUAAUAUCAUUCUAUCCAUUAACUAUAUGAAUAAAUAAAUAAUAAUUGAUGAUAAUAAUUAAUUAGGCUAAUUAACACAGUAUUCAAAUGUACUUUAGAUGUUAUUGUAUUAAUUCUUAGGGACAUAUCCCUAGACAUAUGCCAUGGUCUUACGUCAGCUACAGGAAAUUUUAAAAACAGAUUGGAUUAAUACUUGAUAGUUGAUAGAUAAUGUCUGUAGUCAAAUAUUUCAAUUUAAGUAUAUAAAUAUGAAAUGGCAACUAUCAAGCAUUAUACACUGAUAAAUUUUUAUAUUGGUUGAAACUGCUGUUUAUCAUUUGUUGGAUAUUCCUUGAACACCUACAAAUUGUUAAAAUUAAAUCUCUAAAUGCAAGAUCAGUCUAAAAAUGGUUCAGUAUUUACAAAGAUAUGAUGAAUUAAAAAUUUGUCAACGAGACUAUUAAAAUGAAUUUGCCAGCUUCUAAUUGGGGUGAAGAUGUUUAAUAAGUGAAUGCCUUGACAGAUGACCAUUUUCUGCUUAGGCUAAGCAAAGAUAAGCAAUUAGAUUUAUCAAUGCUUUGGAACACCAUGUCACUCUUAUUCAAAUUGUUGUACCGGUAUAGUUUCAUUAGAGCUGUACUGGUGUCUUGACUUAGUUCGAUAAUGAGCAAUAUUUGUUAAGAGUGAUAAGUAAUUUGAUUGUUUGAUACGUUGUUAAAAGAUAAUAAAUCUAUGAGUGGCAUCUAAUUAUAUUGGGAUUAAGGCAGGGGGAGGGCGGGGACAUCAGCCUCACUUAUGCCAUCAUGGCUUCUUCUUUCAUUAAAUUUCGUUGUCGUCUUAAACUACAGGUAACUCGAUAUUCGAACAAAAAACUAAUGGUAUUGCACGCAAUUAAUGGCUGACAUAACUCAACAAUCAAUGAGGUUUAUUCUGAUUACUGUUUUGAUAAAAAUUGACUUUACAAUCACCAUGAACAUAGUAUGUUUACGUACGUUGUUCCCAAGAGAAAACUGAAGGCUUCCCCGUAUUACUAAAAAUAGAAUGACAGCUCGUGAACGGAUACAAAGUUAGUUCAUCAUUGUAUACUAUUUGGGUGAUGAAGUACCAAUAUCGGGUAUGGUAUAUAACAUUAAAUAACACAACAAGUAAAGCUAUUACUUCCAUAUUUAUGAAGUGUCAUAUCAUUAUUGUGAGAAUAUAACUCUGUUAACCUCUUUUGUGUGAGGGUCAUUGACUUAACCUAUUUAAAUGUUGACGAAAGUUAAUUUCUUUUUUCGUUUUUCUUUUUGUAAGUUUGACUAAAUGAUGUAAUUAGAUGUAUAAUCUGUAUGUGGAAUAUGUUCUAAUAACAUGUUGACCAUAUACAUAAAUUAUUACGGUUAUA